GUGCACGCUGGCGGUAGGCCUAACACAUGCAAGUCGAACGGCAGCACAGUAAGAGCUUGCUCUUACGGGUGGCGAGUGGCGGACGGGUGAGGAAUACAUCGGAAUCUACUUUUUCGUGGGGGAUAACGUAGGGAAACUUACGCUAAUACCGCAUACGACCUACGGGUGAAAGCAGGGGAUCUUCGGACCUUGCGCGAUUGAAUGAGCCGAUGUCGGAUUAGCUAGUUGGCGGGGUAAAGGCCCACCAAGGCGACGAUCCGUAGCUGGUCUGAGAGGAUGAUCAGCCACACUGGAACUGAGACACGGUCCAGACUCCUACGGGAGGCAGCAGUGGGGAAUAUUGGACAAUGGGCGCAAGCCUGAUCCAGCCAUACCGCGUGGGUGAAGAAGGCCUUCGGGUUGUAAAGCCCUUUUGUUGGGAAAGAAAGGCAGCAGGUUAAUACCCCGCUGUUCUGACGGUACCCAAAGAAUAAGCACCGGCUAACUUCGUG
rnacentral:rRNA from 1 species